UCUCCGUAGGUGAACCUGCGGAAGGAUCAUUAUUGAAUGAAACCCUUCUGGCUUUAUGCUGUUGUGCUGGCCCUUUGGGCAAUGUGCACACGGCUCUGGUCACUUGUUUCUUCUGUUCCACCUGUGCACUGCCUGUAGACACGCUGUGUCUAUGAUAUUUGUUAACACACAACAAUGUUAGUUGGCAUGUUAUAUAUAAUAAUAAAAUAUACAACUUUCAACAACGGAUCUCUUGGCUCUC
rnacentral:misc_RNA from 1 species